GAAAACCUUACGAGGAUAAGACGAACGAAGGAUUGACAGAUUGAUAGCUCUUUCUUGAUUGUUCGGGUGGUGGUGCAUGGCCGUUCUUAGUUCGUGGAUUAAUUUGUCUGGUUAAUUCCGUUAACGAACGAGACCUUAACUUGCUAAUUGGUGUGCCUUAUUACAUACUGCACACUGUUAGAAGGACCAUGUGUGUCUAACACAAGGAAGCGUGAGGCAAUAA
rnacentral:rRNA from 1 species